UCCCCCUUCCUUCUCUCGCCCCUAAGAGAGUCCAACUCUCUAAGCCCCGGGAGCUCCGAGAACAGAGGCCCCGGGAAGAAAAGAAAAGGGGGGUGGGGGGAGUGAUGCUCCCUUGCCUUUCGCACCAGCCUCGUAGCUCCAGCUAGCCCUACCUGGCUCCCGCCCCACACGCCCAGGUAACAGCCUCGAGGGCAACGUGCACGGCCGAGAAUCUGGCGGGGACCCGGCGCUCUUACCUCGGUCUCACAGCCGCGUCCUCUCGGCUGAAGAAGAAAAGCCUCGAGGCCCGAGCGCGCCGGGGAGAAGCGCGUCCGCCCGCGCCGCUCCGGGGGCUCCCUCAGCGCCCCCCCAGCAGCAGCCGCCGCAGCGGCCGCGCCACGGCCCCGAGCCGCCAGCUCCACCUCAUCCUGCGGAGCGGUCGGGGAGGCGGGCGGCCGCGCCGCACCUCUCUGCGCGGAUGAGCUAAUCCACACCCCCAAAAGUGCCGUGGGGGAGGGUGCUGGGGUCCUGGCCGCAAACCUUCGACCCUUUGGCCAAAGCCUAAUCUCUCUCCCUCCCCGACUCAGGCCCCCAAACUCAGCCCCCGGGUCCCCCGGAAUCCUGAGAAAACAAUGUUGUGGGGGAGAACGAGGAGCGGGAAGGCGCGCGCCGCGGCGUGAGCGAGCGGGCGAUCCUGGGCAGCCUUAGCGUGUGAGAGUGCAGGAGGCGCUCCGUCACCCCCCUCCGUCCCCGCCUUCCCUUCUUCCUCCUCCUCUGUCUCCUCCUCCCCCCUCAGGCACACCCCGUCUCCUAGGCCGCAGCAUAGCAACGCAACAUGGCGGCUGCGCAGGCGCCGCCACUCGGCGGCCGGGAGCAGCGACCGCAGUGAGGGGCAGCGGUCUCGCGAGAACCCCUGCCCUGUUCCCGCCGGGAGGAGAGGCUGCGCCCGCGGGAGCGCGGAGGGACACGCAGCUCACAGGCUUGGUGAGUCCAGAGGAGAACACGAGGGGCCCAGCCCCCUCCCCAGCCCCCGCAGGAGACUCCUGGAAGCCACUUUGGGCGUCACCUCCUGCCGCCUGUGUCCAGUGGUGCGUCAGGAGAUGGCUUGGGAGGCCGCUGAAAGAAAUGUUCUGGAGGACAAAGGGCCGGGCCCUGCGUUGAGGGAGAAAGGAGGGCUCCGAUGCUCGAGGAGGAGCCGACCGCCUGCGAGCCUAUGGCAGGGGAGGGGGGCUUUGCUCCCCGCGCUUCCGCCCUCUUCGGCCUGGGGCACCUGCUGAGCCGCCCUCCGCCGCGGUGAGGCUGCGCCCCCUGCUGGCUGGCCGGGGCCACUGCUGGAAGCGGUGCCCAGCUCCCUGGUUCUGACAUGCCCCGGCUGGGGCGGGCCGCAGAGAAGCUCCCGGGAACUAAGGCGGGGGUUCCGAACCUGUCGUGUUCCACGGACCCUUUGCUAGUCAGGUGAAAACCACGGACCCCUUACGACGUCCACACUGUGGUGUGUGUUAUUUAAAAAAUACAUCUCACCCGCACCAACACGUCCGCACAAGAGUAAUGUUUUUUUUUUUGAAUUUCAAUUCAAGCUCAGGGACCCUUGAUUAAGAACCCCUUUCCUAAGGAGUGUUUAUUUUAUUUUUAAUUUUUUAAAAAGAUUUAUUUUAUUUCUCUCCCCGCCCCAGUUGUCUGUUCUCUGUGUCU
ensembl:lincRNA